CGAAGCGAUUUUCGCCGUUUCUCAGAUUACUGGGAGUGGGGACAGCGUCCUUUUAUAGACACGAGAAUUCCGGCGUUGGUGGAAUGAAGAAAAAGGUGCACACCUGUAACUUUCCUCUUCUUUUGCCUCCUUUAUACGAAUCACACAGUAUUCAUUGGGGGUUUUCUAUUUUCAUCGGAAUAUUUCGUGUUCCUCGAAAUAACUUCACAAGUAUGGUAAUAUCUGGAGCCAGUUAUAUGAGCAAAAAUAACAUUUUACGAUACAGUUCGUUUCUACAUGUUUCUGGCAAGUGGAUUAUGUGUUACUUAUAAACAUCAUCUCUCACAAACAAGUCAUUUUUCACAAGUGGGCUAAUGAACAAAAAUAUAUCUCUGUAUAUGUUACCGAAUUGAUAAAAUUCUAGAAAUUAAAUUGCAAAAAUUAAUACCUGUGUACUUAGCAAUUAGGCACCGGUCCUCAUUGAGUGUAUCAUUUUGGACCUUUUCCAAACAUCCCACGAAGCUUCUCGCUGAAAUAUUUAGGCCAUGAAUCAAAAUGACGCUAUUUUAUUUUAUGUUUAGGUAUACAUGUUUUUUUUUCAAAAAAGGGGAGUAAUAAAUUAUGAACUAUCAACCAUAAGUGUUUUUACCUAAUGUAUAGGACACUGGAUUGUUGUUAAUUUUCAAAAGGAUGAAUACCCAGAGAAACAGCCGUAGGACCAUUCUCGAUGUUGUAGGAAGUUAAUUACCCACUCUCCAUGAUUCAGGAUCAGAAUUGGCUUGGUCCCCAUGUUUAUGGAUAAGUACAUUAACUUACAGUGCCCUCACCAAAUUAGAAAUUCCUAUUUUUGAGAAUAGGAGAGGUCUUCCUACAUCAUUUUUGAUCUCACGCGUGAUCAUAAAGCGGCAGUUAUCGUUUACGCACAACAUGAGUGCAAAACAUAUUCCUUGAAACUUGGUGCGUUACAUAGUUCUGUCGUUUCUUUUGCAAAAUGCACUGUACUUAGUGCCUAAAAUGUGAUUGCGUUACACUAAGGUGGUAGGUGUCAUGAUCCCAAGGAACUGAGUUUGAUGGAACCGGAAUCAUUAGGUAAAUGUGGGAGUUAGACCGGAACAAGUAAUAAUUCACAACCGGAAUUAAUUCUAUUCGGCCCCAUUUAGGUGUAUUUUCUUCCAGUAAGAUAUUAGAAAAUAAGAACUAUUUCGUUAAUAAAUAAUUGAAUAUU